rnacentral:rRNA from 1 species
UGGGGAAUAUUGGGCAAUGGGCGAAAGCCUGACCCAGCAACGCCGCGUGAUUGAAGAAGGUCUUCGGAUUGUAAAGAUCUGUCCUAUGGGACGAAACAAAUGACGGUACCAUAGGAGGAAGCCCCGGCUAACUACGUGCCAGCAGCCGCGGUAAUACGUAGGGGGCGAGCGUUGUCCGGAAUUACUGGGCGUAAAGGGUGCGCAGGCGGCGCUUUAAGUCAGAUGUGAAAUACCCGGGCUUAACCUGGGGGGUGCAUUUGAAACUGGAGCACUUGAGUGCAGGAGAGGAAAGUGGAAUUCCUAGUGUAGCGGUGAAAUGCGUAGAUAUUAGGAGGAACACCAGUGGCGAAGGCGACUUUCUGGACUGUAACUGACGCUGAGGCACGAAAGCGUGGGGAGCAAACA